GCCGGAGUGGUGGAAGUGGUAGACACCAGGGACUUAAAAUCCCUUGGACCAUUGGUCCGUGCCGGUUCAAAUCCGGCCUCCGGCA
rnacentral:tRNA from 1 species